GGGGAGAUACCGAAGUGGCCAAACGGGACAGACUGUAAAUCUGUUGUCUUUAUGACUUCGUAGGUUCGAAUCCUGCUCUCCCCA
rnacentral:tRNA from 1 species